rnacentral:lncRNA from 1 species
CAAAUGUCAUUCAACCGCACUAGUCAACACAGUGUUACUACGUGAAGAUGCUGGACUUUAGCGCUGUCUAUGGGUGUAGUAAUGAGCAAACAAAGAAAACAAAGCACAAAGUCAGAACAUUUCAUAGGUAAUAUUACGUUUUUUUUUUUUGUUUUUUUUAUAUCGCACAAUUUUGAUCAAUUGCAUUUUUUUUUUUUUUUUUUUUUUUAAAAUCAAAAACUGAUUUUAUUCUAGUCGAAAUAAAACAUAUAAGACUUUCUCCAGAAUAUAUAUAUAUAUAUAUAUAUAUAUAUAUAUAUAUAUAUAUAUAUAUAUAUAUAUAUAUAUAUAUAUAUAUAUAUAUAAACCAUAUAAGGUUCGCCUAGAUCGUGUGUGCUGGAUUGUGUGUGCCUGAAACUUGUGUGGGUCUGCGGGUCAGUAGUUGAAUAUUGUUGGGCUUUUUUUUUCCAUAUACAAGCCCUGCUUGUUUAUAUUUAUUUAUUUAUUUAUUUAUUUUAUUUUUUUAGUAAAGAACUACAAGUUUUAAACACAUUUAUAAGGUAGCAGAUAGUGCUUAAAUAAAUUGGUUAAAAUAAAUUAAAAGAAAGAAACUGUUUAAUAUCAACAGAUUUUAUAUUAG